rnacentral:rRNA from 1 species
UACGAAGGGGGCUAGCGUUGUUCGGAUUUACUGGGCGUAAAGCGCACGUAGGCGGUUUGUUAAGUCAGAGGUGAAAUCCCGGAGCUCAACUCCGGAACUGCCUUUGAUACUGGCAAGCUAGAGUCCGGAAGAGGUGAGUGGAACUCCUAGUGUAGAGGUGGAAUUCGUAGAUAUUAGGAAGAACACCAGUGGCGAAGGCGGCUCACUGGCCCGGUACUGACGCUGAGGUGCGAAAGCGUGGGGAGCAAACAGG